rnacentral:lncRNA from 1 species
CACAGCGGAUAAAUAAUAUUUCAGUCAAUCAAGAUAUAUAGUUUAUUAAAAUUUUAAAAAUAAAAAAUUAUAUCAAAAGAAAUACACAAAAAAAAUCUAUAAAAUAGUCUUAUAUACAUUAUAAAAAAUAUUUUUUAUUAAUAUAUUUUUAACUUUCAAUAUUUAUAGAGUUAAAUUAUUCUAAUAAUUUUAUUUAAAAAUUUACCCAAAAUC